rnacentral:misc_RNA from 1 species
CCGAGUUUACAACUCCCAAACCCCUGUGAACAUACCACUUGUUGCCUCGGCGGACCAGCCCGCUCCCGGUAAAACGGGACGGCCCGCCAGAGGACCCCUAAACUCUGUUUCUAUAUGUAACUUCUGAGUAAAACCAUAAAUAAAUCA